rnacentral:rRNA from 1 species
GAUGAACGCUGGCGGCGUGCUUAACACAUGCAAGUCGAACGAAGCACUCUAGUUGAUUUCCUUCGGGACUGAGGCGUUUGUGACUGAGUGGCGGACGUGUGAGUAACGCGUGGGUAACCUGCCUUGUACAGGGGGAGGACAGUAGGGAACGGCUGCUAAUGCCGCAUAAGCGCGCGGCAUCGCAUGAUGCAGUGUGAAAAAGUCCGGUGGCAUAAGAUGGACCCGCGUUGGAUUAGCUAGUCGGUGAGGUAAAGGCGUAGCAAGGCCGCGAGGCAUGGCCGAGCGGGGAGGCUGCCCGGCCGGGUUGGGACUGAGACACGGCCCACACUCCGACGGGAGGCAGCAGUGGGGUAUAUUACGCGAUGGACGAAAGCCUGAUGCAGCGACGCCGCGUGAGCGAGGCAGUAGUUCGGUAUGUAAUGUUCUAUCAGCAGGGGCGAUAAUGACGGUACCUGACAAAGAAGCACCGGCUAACUACGUG